AGCGUAGACGGCAAGGCAAGUCUGAUGUGAAAACCCAGGGCUUAACCCUGGGACUGCAUUGGAAACUGUCUGGCUCGAGUGCCGGAGAGGUAAGCGGAAUUCCUAGUGUAGCGGUGAAAUGCGUGGAUAUUAGGAAGAACACCAGUGGCGAAGGCGGCUUACUGGACGGUAACUGACGUUGAGGCUCGAAAGCGUGGGGAGCAAACA
rnacentral:rRNA from 1 species